rnacentral:rRNA from 1 species
GACGAACGCUGGCGGCGUGCUUAACACAUGCAAGUCGAACGGAAAGGCCCUGCUUUUGUGGGGUGCUCGAGUGGCGAACGGGUGAGUAACACGUGAGUAACCUGCCCUUGACUUUGGGAUAACUUCAGGAAACUGGGGCUAAUACCGGAUAGGAGCUCCUGCUGCAUGGUGGGGGUUGGAAAGUUUCGGCGGUUGGGGAUGGACUCGCGGCUUAUCAGCUUGUUGGUGGGGUAGUGGCUUACCAAGGCUUUGACGGGUAGCCGGCCUGAGAGGGUGACCGGGCACACGAGCACGGAGGCACGGGCCAGACUGCUAGGGGAGGCAGCGGUAGGGAAGCGGCGGCAAGGGGGGAGAGCGGGACGGAGCAACGCCGCGUGAGUGAUGAAGGUCUUGGGAGAGGAAAACGGUGGUAUCAGGGAAGAACAAAUGUGUAAGGAACGAGGCAGUGCUGGACGGUACGUAAUAAGAAAGCCACGGAUAACGACGUG